rnacentral:SRP_RNA from 1 species
GUUGGGCAUGGUGGAGCACACACAAAAUCAACUGCCAGGGAGGCUAAGGCUGGUGGAUUGCUUGAGCUCGGGAGUUCUGAGCUACAGUAGGACUAAACUCAUUGGGUGUCCACAUUAAGUCUGGCACCAAUAUCGUGAACCCCCAGGAACAGGGGGCCACUAAGCUGCCUAAGGAGGGGGUGAACUGGCCCAGAUCAGAAAUAGAGCAGGUCAAAGUUCUUGUGUUAAUCAGAGUCGGACCCCGCCCCAUGAGUGGCCCUGGUAUUUCCAGCCUGGGUGAGAGAGGCAGCUGCAGUCUAU